rnacentral:rRNA from 1 species
UUUUAUGAGAGUUUGAUCCUGGCUCAGGACGAACGCUGGCGGCGUGCCUAAUACAUGCAAGUCGAACGCUUCUUUUUCCACCGGAGCUUGCUCCACCGGAAAAAGAGGAGUGGCGAACGGGUGAGUAACACGUGGGUAACCUGCCCAUCAGAAGGGGAUAACACUUGGAAACAGGUGCUAAUACCGUAUAACAAUCGAAACCGCAUGGUUUUGAUUUGAAAGGCGCUUUCGGGUGUCGCUGAUGGAUGGACCCGCGGUGCAUUAGCUAGUUGGUGAGGUAACGGCUCACCAAGGCCACGAUGCAUAGCCG